GAUCAUGGCUCAGGACGAACGCUGGCGGCGCGCCUAACACAUGCAAGUCGAACGAGCGAGAGAGAGCUUGCUUUCUCAAGCGAGUGGCGAACGGGUGAGUAACGCGUGAGGAACCUGCCUCAAAGAGGGGGACAACAGUUGGAAACGACUGCUAAUACCGCAUAAGCCCACGACCCGGCAUCGGGUAGAGGGAAAAGGAGCAAUCCGCUUUGAGAUGGCCUCGCGUCCGAUUAGCUAGUUGGUG
rnacentral:rRNA from 1 species